ACACCGCGACGGCGGCCGAAAUCGGGCUUUCGACAACACCGGCAAGCUUGGACCGAGCCUCGACUUUGGCCCAACAAAUCUCAGCCCAAUGAGAUUUGUUCUUAUUUUUGGGCCAGACCCAAGUUGAAUUGGGCCUGCUGAAGAUGGGCUUCAAGUGCUGGUUAAAUUGGGCUUCAAUUCAAUUGAAUAUGGGCUGAACUGGAUGGGCCUGUUGCUAGUGAAAUUUCAAUUGGGCUUGAAGAUUGCAAAAUGGGCCGAGGCUUCUGGCUUCGCUGGUCUGCAGAUUUGGGCCGAAGACUGCUGAGCCCAAGACUCGUGAAUUCACGGCUUGUUCCGUGAUUUGCUGCGGCUUGCUGGAACGGAGCCAGCAGGAAGAAGCGAAGCAGUUUCGCUGGAGUCGAUGGCUGCUUUCGUGUUGCUGGCGUGCAGGCGAAGGAAAUCCUUGGAUGCGGGGUCAGCGAAGGGCUUCCAUUGGGCUCGUUCGUUGACCAGGGAGGAGUGGGCUAGACGCGUGGAGGCUUCACUGGACGCACGAAGGAGCUGCAGCUGGAACGUGAGGUCGCUGAUUCGGUCAACGAAGGCUUCAUUCGGUGGGAAUUUGACCAAGAUGGGGGCGUGCUGGCAUGGAUGAUGGAGCAGCUUCGUGGACGCCGCUGCUGCUGUGCUUUGCGGUCAACCGAGGAGUUCGCUUGCUACUGCUGUUGACUGAAGUAGACCAAGUAAUCAGCAGGUGGCAGCUCGGUGGUCGUUGGCGCACGAAGAGAGGAAGCAAACCGUGGACAGUGCGGCUCCUUCCUGCAAUGGUUGACGCUGGACUCGUGGCAAAAGAAGAAGAAGACUCGGUGAAUGGCUUCGCAUGGGGCAGCUUCGAUAAGUCUUCAACGUUGCUGGAGAAGACACGAAGUAGUGGAGCUGCACGCAGUCAACAAUCUUGCUGAGACUAACCAAAAUCUCGGUGGAUUAGUCUUCGGUGCAGCUAGCGGACGAAGGAAAAUUUUCGAAGGAAGUAGCUUGGUCUUCUUCAGUUACUGUUGGAGGUGUUGCACGAAGAAAAAGAUGGAAAGGGAAGAGAAGCAGCUCACGGCAGCAAGAUGGAGAGGAUGAGGAAGAGGUGGGGGGCC
rnacentral:lncRNA from 1 species